rnacentral:other from 1 species
GUUGAAACUUACCAAAAUCCCUAUCAGGGAUUGAAAC